rnacentral:rRNA from 1 species
GGUACGUUCCCUUCGGGGACGCAGUGACAGGUGCUGCAUGGCUGUCGUCAGCUCGUGUUGUGAAAUGUUGGGUUAAGUCCCGUAACGAGCGCAACCCUUAUCCUUAGUUGCUAGCAGGUAAUGCUGAGAACUCUAAGGAGACUGCCGGUGAUAAACCGGAGGAAGGUGGGGACGACGUCAAGUCAUCAUGGCCCUUACGUGUAGGGCUACACACGUGCUACAAUGGCGUAUACAGAGGGCUGCAAGCUAGCGAUAGUGAGCGAAUCCCACAAAGUACGUCGUAGUCCGGAUUGGAGUCUGCAACUCGACUCCAUGAAGUUGGAAUCGCUAGUAAUCGUAGGUCAGCAUACUACGGUGAAUACGUUCCCGGGUCUUGUACACACCG